CAGGUUCCAGUCAUUCUUACAUGAUGAAGGGGAUAUGCAGGUCACUGGGUUUCAUUCUCUCCUCUCAAGUACGCAAGAAAUAGCACCUCUUGGGUCACACUUCCUUGAAAAUUCUGAGAAUAUGGUCACAUCUACACACUGCUCUUGAAGAGAACGUGACUUCCAAGAUGGCCUUCAGUUUACACCUAGUUUAAGACAGUAUCUGUUAUUUGUCCUUGUUAGAAGUGAUGGAUUAGUCUUUUCCGAGAGAUUCAGAUAGACAAGACACAGAAAUGUAAUGUACUAUUGAUUUUUCUUUUUUUAUGAAUUCAAAAACAGAUAACCUUUCAAUAAAAACUUGAUGGAAGACCAUA